AUGGCGUCUUCGCCGUCGUCGUCCCCCGCGGCCCCCGCCGAAGCCGACUCCCCGAUCGUCCACGUCGCCUUCAGCAGCGGCACCUCCCACUUCGUCGCGUCCGCGGCCACCGGGUUCCACGUCUUCUCCUGCGACGACGACAAGGUCGAGCGCGUCCACUACAAGUCCGACGCCGUCGCCUCUCCCGGCGUCGUGGUGACCUCCGCCGAGCUGCUAACGCGGUCGCGCGUGGCCGUUGUGACCCAGAUGGCAGGCGCCGUCAAGGGCGCGGCCGAGCACCACGCCAUCUACUUCUGGGACGAGGAGAGCGGGGAGGCGAAGCAGAUAGCCAUCGGCUCGACCAAGACCCCCGACCUCGGCCCCGUGGGCGGGCUCCGCCUUCUCGGGGGCCACGUGCUCGUCGCCGGCCAGCAGAUGGCCAUGCUGGUCAUCAGCGGCGACUUGAAGAGCCGAAAGCUGGUUCAGACGGGCCCCAACCCGCUUGGGCUGUGCGCGCUGGCGGUUGACCAGGAGACGCGGCUCGUCUGCGCCCUGCCGCGGCCGGAGAAGGGGGCGGUGCAGGUCCGCCGGACCGGCAAGCCCGGCAGCGUCGACGUGCGCGCGCACGCGUCGAGCCUGUCGUGCAUCGCGCUCUCCCGCGACGGCCGGCUGCUCGCCACAGCCGGAUCAAAGGGCACGCUCGUGCGCAUCUUCAGCACCGACGACGGCACCAUGCUCCAAGAGCUAAGGAGAGGCAUCGACAGAGCAGACAUCCACUGCAUCGCCUUCUCGCCGGACUUCAGAUGGCUGGCCGUUUCCAGCGACAAGGGGACGGUCCACGUUUUCCCCGUCGCCAGCGUCGACAAAGCAACCUUGACAAUGGAGGGCGGCGACGGGGAUGCCCUCCUGGUGGCCCCGUCACGAGCAGCGGCGUUUCCUCCUGCACCGGCAGCAGCCAAGCAGGGAUCAUUACUGCCAUCGUUCUUGAAAGGUUACUUGCCGAGCUACUUCAGCUCAGAGCGGUCUCUGGCGCAGGUCCGGCUCCGUGAGGGCGUCGAGUACGCGGUGGAGUUCUGGCGGCACCACCCCAACACCAUCCUCAUCGCCGGCACGGACGGAAGCUUCUACCGGUGCCGUUUCGACCCCGUGAACGCGGGCGAGAUGAAGCAGCUGGAGCAUGAGAGAUUCAUUAAGAAGAUCAACGAGUGA
rnacentral:rRNA from 1 species